AGGAGGCACGCACGAGAAAUAACGCAGAAGAAUGACGAGACUUUGUGAAAAUUUCUUUAACAUCUGGUGAAAUUGUGACUUUUUUCACAUAUGACUGUGUAAUUUCAUCGAGAGUGAUCUAUGAUGUAACUGAUUUAUUCGGGGGAGAAGCUAUUUUAGGAGAAAAUUUGGAAGAAUAUGCGAGAUGUUGUGAAAAACCAAUAUGGCGUCGGUUUGGCUGAUGUGGCGUCAGUUGGGCCUAGAAGGGGGACUGGCGAAGUUUCCGGUGUAUUUGCUAAGAAAUUAGAAAUUCCUCAGAAAAUAAUGAAGUUUGAAGUCAGAUUUCGGUAUGCAAUACCCAUGAUUGGCACACGUGGCCUGCAUUGUCCAAGUAUCAAACCAUGGACUGUGUACAAGUCUAUUGGGGCCGUUUGGGGAAAGUAGCCAGCUACAUGCAUAGUCUUUAUCCUGACCAAGAAUAACCAUCGCUUGUUUGACGAGACGACAUUUUCUAUCUUGCUCAACCUGCAAGAGUCUGGCUUAGCUGAUGAACGUUCUCCAAUCAGUAACCUUGCUUGGUACCUGGUCAUCUAUCGUGAACUCGUUUCUGCUUAAACUGCAUCCAGAUUUUCUGCGCGACUUCUACGUCAUGCAGGUUUUGCAUUAGAGAUGGCGAAAACUUCCAUUGGGUUUGAUGUUUGUAAUCUUGAUUAAUUUUUGACAAUCGUCGCAUGUGAAUGACAAGUUUAUUAAAUGGUAAUGGUCUUUUAUGUACAGAUUGAAUUUGAGAAACAAUUCAAAAUUGCAGUAUUUAGAAUGUUUGGUCCUAGAUGUGAGCAUGCUACAAUUUUCUUGUUUAUAGAUGUUGAAAUCAACAAGUGGCCUUAAGUAACAAAUAUGAGACACCAUAAGUAGAACUGGUCACCAGGAUGAUGACACUGCACAAAUCUCGUCCUUGUAGCUGUUUGCAGUCAUCCCUAAUGUUGCCCCGACAAGUUGAUGAUUUGAUCAUUUGAAUGUCCCAACUGCUGUAUAGUAAAGAUCCAUUUCGCUGGUGGCCAACCUGUUUUACCCUGCAGUUUGUGUAUUCCAUCCUACCACAGUAUGUUGAAGGGGCAGAUUCCUGUGGACUCCGCAAUGGCUAAGCUGUCCUGUGACAAAAUUUGUUGGUUUGGUGUUUUUUUUUAAAUUACACAAAAAUGUUUAAUGCCAACAAGUAAUUGAUAAUCUUUCAUUCAAAACAAUACCUAGAAAACCUAAACCUGAAAAAUGAUGAAACGAGUAAAUUGUUGAAAAACCU